GCGGACGUGGUGCACGGUGCACCGCUGUAUUUAAUAGAGUGUUGUAGACAUAGAUGAAGCAGCCAACCGGGGUUCGACUCCCCGCGUCCGCA